rnacentral:lncRNA from 1 species
CUCGGAUGUGGGUGUCAGGUGGAGCUCUGUAUACUAUCGCCCCUAGGGUAGAGGGGACUACCCCCUCCUGGGGGCAGACCCCUUGAACCUGGUUGUCAGGUGGAGCUCUGAAUAUCAUCGCCCCUAGGGUAGAGGGGACUCCCAUCUCCAGAGGGAGACCCCUCGAACCUGGUUGUCGCGGGGGUGGGGUGGGGGGAGCUCUGUAUACCAUUUCUCAUUUUUCUGGUUUUACAUGAUGUAGAAUCUCACCUGUUUUGUUGUUAUAUAGUUUCAUAGGGGUAGUAAUGUCUGAUUCAUUCUACUAUCCCUCCUACCCCAUUGCCCCUCCCCUCCCUUUUCUCCCCUCUACCAAAUCUAAAGUAACAGUAACUAUUCUUCUGUAGCUCCCCACAUUGUGAAUUAGCAUGGGCAUAUCAAAGAAAAGAUUGUACCUGUUUUUAAAGUCAUAAAUGAUUAUAACUCUUCAGUUAUAACAAUAUAGUUGACACUCUAAAUAUGUGUGACUAGGUGUAUGUAUGCAUCUGAGAAGUAUAUCUGUCUAAGCCUUGUCUACGUGUUAUGUAAAAGUUUACAAAAUGAAAGUUUUUGCAAGUUUACCAGCAAGAUAACCAAUAAGUGCUCUUUUAUGCAUUGUAUCUUACAUAGAAGGGCCACACUGUCAUUUGAAGACCUGUCUUACAUCCGUUUGCUGUAACUAAGUUAAUUUCUGAUCAUUAACAGUGUUUCCUAAGUGUAUAAGAUUUCAGGCUAUCCUUUGAUUUUUGUUAACCCAUGCAGACCUGUGAUUCUUGUUACCAUACACUUUAAACUCUAAAUUGUUCUUAAAAAAAGUUAAACUUGGGUAAAGUAAAGCUUAGGGCAGCCCUUUGCAAAGAUGAUGUUAUCUAAACUAAAAUUUAUAGAAAAAUCUUGGAUUUGUAUAGAAAUAACAAAUUUGAUUGGUAUCUAUUCAUGUUGUUUGAUGUUUUAUAGCUGGAUGAAGUUACUUGUUGUCAAUAAUUA